UUACGGCCGUAUCACGUUGAAACACCGGUUCUCGUACGAUCACCAAAGUCAAGCAAUGUCGAGUCUGGCAACUAACUAGAUGGGUUACCGCUUGGGAAUACCAGAUGCUGAAA